UGAGCCGUGGCUUUCGGAGCUAACGCGUUAAGUAGACCGCCUGGGGAGUACGGUCGCAAGAUUAAAACUCAAAUGAAUUGACGGGGGCCCGCACAAGCGGUGGAGCAUGUGGUUUAAUUCGAUGCAACGCGAAGAACCUUACCUACUCUUGACAUCCAGAGAAGCUUGAAGAGAUUCGAGUGUGCCUUCGGGAACUCUGAGACAGGUGCUGCAUGGCUGUCGUCAGCUCGUGUUGUGAAAUGUUGGGUUAAGUCCCGCAACGAGCGCAACCCUUAUCCUUGUUUGCCAGCACUUCGGGUGGGAACUCCAGGGAGACUGCCGGUGAUAAACCGGAGGAAGGUGGGGACGACGUCAAGUCAUCAUGGCCCUUACGAGUAGGGCUACACACGUGCUACAAUGGCAUAUACAGAGGGCAGCAAGACCGCGAGGUGGAGCGAAUCCCAGAAAGUAUGUCGUAGUCCGGAUCGGAGUCUGCAACUCGACUCCGUGAAGUCGGAAUCGCUAGUAAUCGUGGAUCAGAAUGCCACGGUGAAUACGUUCCCGGGCCUUGUACACACCGCCCGUCACACCAUGGGAGUGGGCUGCACCAGAAGUAGAUAGCUUAACCUUCGGGAGGGCGUUUACCACGGUGUGGUUCAUGAC
rnacentral:rRNA from 1 species